rnacentral:lncRNA from 1 species
CUAUCUCAUUCAAGUAUCUUCAGGGGUACACACUUAAAUCUCACAUAAAUUGCUUGAAAAAUAUCGUUGCUCUUUUGCUCUCAAUAUAGUUUAACUUCUGCGUAUGUGCUAUACCUAUAAAGAGAACAACCACAGUUAUUUAUUGAUUGAGUAAUCAGAGUUUGAUUGAUACUCAAUUACUGAUCUUCCAUCGAAGUUGAGUCUUUGAAAAAUACAAACUCCAACCCUAUCCUUGAUCCUGAUUCUGUUCUCUUUCCAUAAGAAGACUUUCUCUCCUUAUCCAAUAUGCAACCUUUUUGAUAAGGUAAGGAGAUAUUUUUGCUUGAUCCUUGAGACUUAUCUCAUUCACGUGCAUCUCACAUGUAUGGGUUGAUAAACACUAUGUCUCGCAUGAUGGACCUAGUCCAUGACUGAGUUCAUUUGUCAUUCUUCAAAACUUCAUUUGAUCUUGGGCCAACAAGUUCCCAUUUUUUGAUGACGACAAAAUCUGUGCUUUUACUGAUAAGAGAUCCUGUAGAAAUCAGCUUAAUCAUCAAUACUUUAACUUGGAAAAGUCAGAAAUUUUAAAUUAUCAUCAAGGAAAAUUUUAAUUUAUCAUCAAGGACCAGGUUUAAUCAGGUUAUAAAUAUCACUUUAUUUUCAAAUACAAAGUAAAGCACAUUAUCUCUUCCCUAUUUUGGCAUCAUCAAAAAGUUGCAUAUAUUGUGAAUCCCUGAUUUUAAUCAUUACUUAUGGCCACCAGGGCAACUGCAAGUGAAAACAUGGUUCAAUUUAUCAACAAUCAAUUAAUAAAAAUUAACUAUCAAGAUCAGAACUUCAUAUAACAAGAGAAAAAGCAAAUUUUCCUUGAUUAGGUUAUGUUUCCACCAACAUACCAAAAAAAGAAAGAAAAACUUCCAAACAUGAGCAAUAAAAUAGAAAAAGUCCC